UUCUGCAUUUUAGCCACCAGCAUGAUUUACCCAGCCCUGAAACAGAUCUGAUGAGCCAGCCCCUGAAGGUGCCUGUCUCUUUUAUGCACUACAGAAAGAGCCCAGACCAGAAGGUCAGGCUAAAUGCUUCAUUUCAGACAAACCUCUCAGCCUCUUCCACAUUUGCUGCCACUCCUGUCACAAAAUCAGCAGUCAAGGAUGUAGCAACUAAAAGCCUGAAGACCACGAGAGAGAUGAAAGCAGGUACCAGCAAGAUUUUUACCUUAUAACCUCAAAUCCCAUGUCUAAAUCGAAAGAAAGUGGUAAAGUUCCUGAUAUUUUGCUAAAGUAUAGAGAUUUUGAAAAUAAACCAUGCAUGGGCAUGGAGUUUCUACCAGCCUUACUAUGUUUUAUCCACAAUAUGCAAUGUCUGUAACCUGAUCUAGAAGUUCCAGACUCAUGAAAUCAGGAACUUAGGAACAUGAAGCAUCAGAAGCAUACAUCACCACCACUAGGAGUGCUCCCGAGUUCCUGCACCUUCCUGUAGGCACGCAUGCAUGCUGUCUUUGGAGUGAUACCUGGACAUGCACCAUUCCUCCCACCCCGCACUCCAGUUCCAAUGAGGAAAUCCAGACAGGAACUGCACCAUAUCCCCCACAGCACAAUGUCAAGACACUGCUAUUCUUCCUUCACCACGUCUGCCAUGUUGCUCCUUAUUCUUUUCUGGCCAGCAAGAGGCUGUUACAGACUCUCAACCCUCUUGGGACUUGAGCAGUAACAUGGAUUGCUGCCCAAACUUUCCAGACAUUUAGAUGUUGCAUGGCUUAGUUUUGAAGAUCCUGAAGUAAGACUGCCAUACAUAAGGUCAUACAAAAUACCUCGUAUCCUUGGAAAGUUUCAUCCCAGUCCUACUACCUGAAAAUUAAAUUAUAUUAACUAACUCCUGUUAUCACUACAGCACUUCCAUCCAAUUGUUGCCAAUUGUUGUCAGUUGUUGCAUUUUUUUAGUUUGGAUUUCUACACUUACAGAGAGACAAACAAAUUCAGGUAUUGUAAGGGUAGAAGCAAGAUUUUAAGAUUCAUUUAAGCAAGCCACGAGAGCAGCAUUCUACAAAAACUCUCCUGAGAAAUGAAUAGGAUAAUAUAGAAAUGUGAUAUGUCAUUAAUAAAUUAAAAAAAAAACACUUGAGAAUUGAAAUUUUAAAUUAGUUUAAGGAAAUAAUGCAUAAACCCAAAGAUUAGCAGAGCAGAACUAAACUAAUAUAGAAAAAUCAAUUGCUGCAUCGCAAAAUAGAAGAGAAAAUUGGUUUACAGUCUUCAAUCAUAAAAACCCCUCAGCUGAUUAGGAACAAUUCUCAAAGAAGCUCAAAGUAUUUUCUGAAAGAACUACAAAAAAAAAAAAAAAAAACAAA